GGGGAAUAUUGGGCAAUGGGCGAAAGCCUGACCCAGCAACGCCGCGUGAAGGAAGAAGGCUUUCGGGUUGUAAACUUCUUUUAUCAGGGACGAAGGAUGUGACGGUACCUGAUGAAUAAGCCACGGCUAACUACGUGCCAGCAGCCGCGGUAAUACGUAGGUGGCAAGCGUUGUCCGGAUUUACUGGGUGUAAAGGGCGCGUAGGCGGAGAGACAAGUCAGAUGUGAAAUCUAUGUGCUUAACCCAUAAACUGCAUUUGAAACUAUCUCCCUUGAGUGAUGGAGAGGCAAGCGGAAUUCCUAGUGUAGCGGUGAAAUGCGUAGAUAUUAGGAGGAACACCAGUGGCGAAGGCGGCUUGCUGGACAUUAACUGACGCUGAGGCGCGAAAGCGCGGGGAGCAAAC
rnacentral:rRNA from 1 species